UACGAAGGGGGCUAGCGUUGCUCGGAAUCACUGGGCGUAAAGGGUGCGUAGGCGGGUCUUUAAGUCAGGGGUGAAAUCCUGGAGCUCAACUCCAGAACUGCCUUUGAUACUGAAGAUCUUGAGUUCGGGAGAGGUGAGUGGAACCGCGAGUGUAGAGGUGAAAUUCGUAGAUAUUAGGAAGAACACCAGUGGCGAAGGCGGCUCACUGGUCCGGUACUGACGCUGAGGUGCGAAAGCGUGGGGAGCAAACAGG
rnacentral:rRNA from 1 species